rnacentral:rRNA from 1 species
UACGGAAGGCAGCAGUGGGGAAUAUUGCACAAUGGGCGAAAGCCUGAUGCAGCUAUGCCGCGUGUAUGAAGAAGGCCUUAGGGUUGUAAAGUACUUUCAUCGGGGAGGAAAAAACAAACUAAUAAUUUUAUUUCUUGACGUUACCCGAAAAAGAAGCACCGGCUAACUCCGUGCCAGCAGCCGCGGUAAUACGGAGGGUGCUAGCGUUAAUCAGAAUUACUGGGCGUAAAGAGCACGUAGGUGGUUUUUUUAAGUUCAGAUGUGAAAUCCCUGGGCUUAACCUAGGAACUGCAUUUUGAAACUGAAAUACUAGAGUAUCGUAGAGGGAGGUAGAAUUCUAGGUGUAGCGGUGAAAUGCGUAGAUAUCUGGAGGAAUACCUGUGGCGAAAGCGGCCUCCUAAACGAAUACUGACACUGAGGUGCGAAAAGCGUGGGGAGCAAAACAGGGAUUAGAUACC